GAUGAAGAACGUAGUGAAAUGCGAUAAGUAAUGUGAAUUGCAGAAUUCAGUGAAUCAUCGAAUCUUUGAACGCACAUUGCGCCCGCCAGUAUUCUGGCGGGCAUGCCUGUUCGAGCGUCAUUUCAACCAUCAAGCCCCCGGCUUGUGUUGGGGACCUGCGGCUGCCGCAGGCCCUGAAAACCAGUGGCGGGCUCGCUAGUCACUCCGAGCGUAGUAAUACAUCUCGCUCAGGGCGUGCUGCGGGUUCCGGCCGUUAAAAAGCCUUAUUUACCCAAGGUUGACCUCGGAUCAGGCAGGAAGACCCGCUGAACUUAAGCAUAUCAAUAAGCGGAGGA
rnacentral:misc_RNA from 1 species